rnacentral:rRNA from 1 species
AUACGGAGGAUCCGAGCGUUAUCCGGAUUUAUUGGGUUUAAAGGGUGCGUAGGCGGAUGAUUAAGCGUGAGGUGAAAUGCCACUGCUCAACAGUGGAACUGCCUCGCGAACUGGUUGUCUUGAAUGCUCCUGCCGUGGGCGGAAUGUGUGGUGUAGCGGUGAAAUGCAUAGAGAUCAGACAGAACACCGAUUGCGAAGGCAUCCAACGAAGGGGUGAUUGACGCUGAGGCACGAAAGCGGGGGGAUCAAACAGGAUUAGAUUCCCUGGUAGUCCACGCAGUAAACGAGGAUAACUAGCCGCUGGGUCGUUGUGAGUCAGUGGCCAAGCGAAAGCGAUAAGUGAUCCACCUGGGGAGUACGACCGCAAGGUUGAAACUUAAAGGAAUUGACGGGG